rnacentral:rRNA from 1 species
AACGAACGCUGGCGGCAUGCCUAACACAUGCAAGUCGAACGAGACCUUCGGGUCUAGUGGCGCACGGGUGCGUAACGCGUGGGAACCUGCCCUUAGGUUCGGAAUCACUCCCCGAAAGGGGUGCUAAUACCGGAUAAUGUCUUCGGACCAAAGAUUUAUCGCCUUUGGAUGGGCCCGCGUUGGAUUCGCUAGUUGGUAGGGUAAAAGCCUACCAAGGCGACGAUCCAUAGCUGGUCUGAGAGGAUGAUCAGCCACACUGGGACUGAGACACGGCCCAGACUCCUACGGGAGGCAGCAGUGGGGAAUAUUGGACAAGGGGCGAAAGCCUGAUCCAGCAAUGCCGCGUGAGUGAUGAAGGCCUUAGUGUUGUAAAGCUCUUUUACCCGGGAUGAUAAUGACAGUACCGGGAGAAGAAGCUCCGGCUAACUCCGUG